UACGUAGGGUGCAAGCGUUAAUCGGAAUUACUGGGCGUAAAGCGUGCGCAGGCGGUUGUGCAAGACCGAUGUGAAAUCCCCAGGCUCAACCUGGGAACUGCGUCCGAUACUGGAUGGCUUGAAUCCGGGGAGAGGGAUGCAGAAUUCCAGGUGUAGCGGUGAAAUGCGUAGAUAUCUGGAGGAAUACCGGUGGCGAAGGCGGCAUCCUGGACCAACACUGAACGCUG
rnacentral:rRNA from 1 species